CCUCCUUCCAGUUUCUCUUUUCCCUUCGUAUACUUCCAAUGAGUGGUGUUCCUCUCCAAAUGCUGACUCAGGACAUCCUUAUUGAUAUAUCGGUGUAAGAAAACCAGUCUCCAUCUUCUGAAGAGUGAACAGAAAGAGGUUGGUGCCCAAUGGCUCCAUUUGACUCCCCGUGGCCUCUUCCUCUCAUAAUUUCUUCUAUGAACCACACAAACUGUACCUGAGCCUGGAAUCUCUUCUUCUCUCAGUGGUCUCCACACCUGUUAUCA